rnacentral:rRNA from 1 species
CGAAAGCCUGACGGAGCAAGACCGCGUGGGGGAAGUAGGCUCUUGGGUUGUAAACCCCUUUUCUCUGGGAAGAACGCAAUGACGGUACCAGAGGAAUCAGCAUCGGCUAACUCCGUGCCAGCAGCCGCGGUAAGACGGAGGAUGCAAGCGUUAUCCGGAAUGAUUGGGCGUAAAGCGUCCGCAGGUGGCAGUUCAAGUCUGCUGUCAAAGACCGGGGCUCAACCUCGGAAAGGCAGUGGAAACUGAACAGCUAGAGUAUGGUAGGGGCAAAGGGAAUUCCCGGUGUAGCGGUGAAAUGCGUAGAGAUCAGGAAGAACAUCGGUGGCGAAGGCGCUUUGCUGGACCAUAACUGACACUCAGGGACGAAAGCUAGGGGAGCG